UUAAGUUCAGCGGGUAGUCCUACCUGAUUUGAGGUCAGAGGUCAGAGAUGUUUCGUCCGAAGACAAAGCUUGAACCGUUCAACGACGGACCCUUCAGUCGACGGUGACUUUCUAUCACGUCCACUCGGUCGGUCAGGUCCAAGCUUUACUAUGCAUUCAAGAGGAGCCGAACGCGCGUCCGGCAACCUCCAAAAUCCAAC
rnacentral:misc_RNA from 1 species